AGAGAGCCCAGAGCUUACAGACGCCCGCCCCCGCCGCCCCCGCCCAGCCAAUCAGAGAGGACAGGGCUGCGCGUCCGUGCGCGCGACCGUUGUCCCCGCGGCGGGGUUUCCCUGCCCCACCCCCACUCCUGAGCCCGGCCCGCGGGGAACGGGGUUCUGGGGCAGCCGGGACGGCGACAGGGGCGCCUCCCGCCGUGCGCCUGGACGGCCGGCCUGCCUCCCCCGCCCCAGUCUUCCCACUGGCCAGCCCCGCGAGCGUAGAAAGUUCCAGGAGAAGCACCCGCUCUUAAUGGCGGCCGCGGCGGGGGCCGGUUUUAAGAAAUAUUACAGAGACACAACCGAAGGCACUGUUCUUAUUCCCUUCUCUUCCCCACGGAGAGCCAGAUGUGGGGCUCAGCCCCAUGAGUCAGGAGAUCGUGACCUGAGCCGAAAUCAAGAGUCGGAUGCUCAACCAAAUGAGCCACCCGGGCACCCCCCAUCCUAAUCAUUUUUCAAGAAAAGAAGGCAUGGAGUUUCAAACCAAAGUUACAAAAGGCUGUCCUUUCCCUACUGAAUGGCCCUGACACCCUUGCUGAAUAUAAGCAAAAGGAGAGGGUUUGUUACCACUGCCCUGCAGGAAACGUUCAGAUGAGUUCUAUAAGCUGAAAUGAAAACGUAUUGGACGGUGACUUGAAGCCAUACAGAGAAAUAAAGAUCUCAACAAAAGGAAGUGUAUGGGCAUCGAUAAAAGCUGGCUUUAUUGUAACAAUGUUGGAGGUCAGGAAAAAGUUUUGUAAAUAGAAGUGGUGAUGGUUGCCCAACAUUGUGAAUUCAACUUAUUGCACUGAAUUGUAGCUUUAAAAAUUGUUAAGAUGAUGCAUUUUAUGUUAUGUAUAUUUUACCACAAACACUUUAAAGGUGAGAAUUUCCCUCCACAUGACGUAGCCAUGCCACUCACAAGAAUUUACCCCCAAGAUAAAAGGAAUAUAUGAGAAUACAAGAACUCGUACGCCAAUGUUCACAGCAGCUUUAUUCAUGAUAUCUGGAUGCAGGAAACAAGUCAAAUGUCAAUCAACCGGUGAAUCAAGAAACAAAUUGUGGUACCCCAUGUAAUGGAACAGUACUCAGAAUUAAAAAUGAAUGAAUUGGGGCACCUGACUGGCUCAGUUGGUAGAACACGUGACUCUGGAUCUCACGGUUAUGAGCCAGAGCCCCAUUUUGGUGUAGCAAUUACUUAAAAAAAAAAAAAAAAAGAAAAUGAAAAUGAAAUGAAUUAUGGGUACAUGUAAUCUCCAAAUUCAUCAUGCUUAGUCAAAGAAGCCAGCCAUAAAAUAAUCCAUAUUUUAUGACUGUACAUUUAUAAAAUUCUAGAAAGUGCAAACUAUAGUUGACUCUUGAAUAAAAAGAUUUGAACUGCA